CCCUCCCCCCUCAGCUGUUCAGUAUUGGAAUUAGCUCCCAACCACAUUUAAAGCCUCAUAUUCAUUCAGGCUUCAUUUCUGCCUGAAGUCAGCUGCAUGUGCACUAGCCUUUGGAUCUAGUUCAAACACUAGCAACCAUAUAGGUCAUGAAAAGUACUGAUUCCAGAGACCCAGCAUUGGGCACACAUUCAUCUGUGUCCUGAGAUUAGG